CGGCAGUUAACCGACGGCUCUACGCUAGACUCAAGGCUUCAGGUGAGGACUUGUGGUCUCAUCCGAAUCGGAGGACUACGGGUAUGGGAGGGCUCAGGGCGUCCGUCGCCCUCAGGAGCCGAGAAGGCGGGGGGUUGGGCUGGCGUUUAGCGUCUGUGCCGCUGGAGGAGUCCGCGCCUUUGUCUUCCUGCGGCACCACCUUCUUUGCGAGAUGGUUAGCCCUCCUGGGGGUCGGUUUCUGGAAGGCCCAGGGGGAUGAACCACCAGUCACCUACCCACUGCAGCGGCAGUUCUGGAGACUGCGAGGACGAGGAGUUUAGGGACCACCCGGAAUGGGUCUUCUGGGGCAGGCCCCUUAUACCCUUUCCUCUCAGUGACCAUUCAGCAGGGCGCCAGACAUUGACAAUAUUUUAAAAUGUUCACAAACCUUUCCUGGCAAAUGGUUCCUGACAAACUCGCCAAUAAGCCCCGCCCUUCCUUAUUGUUAUUAAUAAUAAUUUUGUUAAUUCCGGUUUUCAUAGCUUUCAGAUUGGUGUCGGAUGGCUCGGCAAGAGGGCCUUAACUGGAGACUUCUAGCUCUGUGUGUGUGUGUGUGUGUGUGUGUGUGUGUGUGGUGAGGGGCUCUUCAUUCUGUUCUGGGCACUAGAACGUGUCUUUCCUCACCAGGGUGGGGCCAGGCACAUACAGGAGAGCUCUCUUCCGGUUUGUGGAGUCUCCUAUUGUCUCUCCUGGACAAAUGCAGGAUGUUCAGAGGGCACCUCUGAGCCUCAUCUUCUUGCUUCUCCCUUUGCAGAGAAAAUAGGGUGAAAUAAGAAUCAAUUCUGUUUGCUUUACCCCAUUCUGAUGACCUCAAUCUGAUUCUAAUUGGCUGUUCCUUAUAGCAUUUUCCAAACUAGUGCCACAAGACCUGUGAUUAGUUCUGACCAGAUUAAAUCCUUCCCUUUCUUAUUGUAGCUCUUUAAUAUACUGUCUUUGGACAUUUAAAAUGGAAAGAAAUUAGUACAAUUUUGUGUGUUACCUUUUUUUGUAUGAUGUGUCCCUCAUCUCCCAGGGAAAAUGCCAGAAAAAAGAGAACUUGAAUAGAAGGCAAAAACGCUCAAAUAGUGCUUGCUCCUGUUUCAGAAUCAUGAACUAGUCAAAUCUAAUUUUUCUUUUAUUUUUUUUUUGUCUUCUAAACCUACCUGUUUGUGUGCUUCUAUCACCUCCAUUUUACCUUUGCUGUGAUUUGAAAAAGAGUCAGACAUAUUGGCUCUGCAUAUCUAGAGCAUCUUGGUUUCUACUGCAUCUUCAUCCACUAUCACUGCCUACCAGAAAUGGGCUAAUGACACAGAAUUGAAAGCAUUCUAAUAAAAGUGUGACCUUUCUAAGCUCUUUUUCUGUUGAAUAUCAGCACAUAAAAUAUACAUUGAUAUUAAAUUAAAUGAGGACAUUUUUUACUGUUACUCCUUAGUCUGAAGAUAGUUCUGCCAAUUAAUUUAAUUUUUUUAGUCUUUCUUUUAGUCAAGAUGAGUGAUAAACCAGACUUGUCUGAAGUGGAGAAGUUUGACAAAUCAAAACUGAAGAAAACUAAUACUGAAGAAAAAAAUACUCUUCCCUCAAAGGAAAGUAAGUAAUGAGGGAUUUUUAAUUGACAUGCCAACAAAGGUGGAAGUUGUUCAGUAAAUAAACCCAUAUUCUAGUAAAUUUUGCCACAAAAUGGGCAGUAAUUAGAGUAUCGUUGUAUUUAAAGCAACAGUUAAAAAUGUCAAUAGUUGACUUUGUUAUUGGGGUUAUGUAAAUGGUUCUCAUAUGAUAGGCCUUAGUAGUAUGUGGGAAUAAAAAACUAGUUUUUUUGGGGAAAAUUACUAAUAACCACAUUAAAUCCAAUCUUAGAAUAUUGGACUAAACACUGCAUUUAGAAAUUUCAGUCUGUGAUCUCACCCCUAAAGAACCAUGACCUUCUCUACCUGAUGAUAAUAGGGAAGAACAUGUAUAGAUCUUGGAUAUACUUAAGAUUCCCAGACUUCAAGGGAUCAGUUUUACCCUCUAGAGUUACAGCCUUCUGAAGAAAUUCCAAACAUAUUUACAAAUGCUCUGGGACACUUUUGUCAUGUCAGCAUUUUUUGGGAAUUUCAAAAAAUAUCUGGACGUAUAAUUUCCUUAUUGUAUAGUGAUUAAAAAUGUGGAUGAAAAUGCUUUGUUUUCUCUUCAGUCUCAAAUAAUCUAUGGAAAAUGGCAAUAGAAUAAAUAAUAAAUACUCUCAAAUGAAAAAAAAAAGCCCACAGUUGAUGUAGAUUCUAAUGUAUGUUCAGGUGGUUAAAAAGCAUGCACACACUCAUACUAUGAGGAUUUGUGCUUAGUGCUUUGGCAUCCUAAAUUUAAAGUGUGUAUGGCAGGCUUAAGUGACUUAGUAAAGAACUCAGUGUGUGUGUGAGUGUGUGUGGGGGUGCUGUGGAUUGAACCCAGGGACUCCUGCAUAUUGGGUAAGCACUCUGCCACUGAGCUGUACCCCCUACCCAGUAGCAAAGUGUUUUUCUGGAAGGUACUGAACUUAAUCUUAGGAAAACACUCUCUUAAUGAUUUUUUGUUGCUUUUUUUCCCCUUCUUAGCUAUCCAGCAGGAGAAAGAGUGUGUCCAAACAUCAUAAAAUGGGGAUCUCCUCCCAAGAGCAAAUUUCAACAUUGAUGGAGAGUCUUGGUUUUAGUAAACCCAUGUAUUCGUAGAAAUGUUAGGCAUCUAUGGCUUCUCACCUGUACUUUGUGGCUAAGAGGUCAACACUAGUCAAUGUUCCCUUAAAUUUAUUUUUAAACUUCUCCUUGGUACAUAAAUAAUUUCCAAAUGAAAGAUGCUGUCAAUAGUCUCACCAUUGAUGAUCUUUGUGUGUGUAGUCUUUGUAAACCCCAUAAAGCAAGCCAAUUUUAACUUAGAAUGGGUACCUCCAUUGCUUCUUAAUAUUCAUGAAGUUACAUACUUUUGCAGCUUCUCGCAGUUUUCAUUUCUGUACCAAUAAAAUAAUA
rnacentral:lncRNA from 1 species